AUGCUACAAGGUUUCUACUUACAAGAAAUAGCAGGUCAGAUAAAUUGUUCUCAUGCAGACAGAUCAGUGACACACAAGAAAGGAAAUGUGAAUUAUCUGCCCACAUCCCAUAGUUUAGAUAGCAUCUCAGACUGAACUAUGCACCUGGGAUAUUCCUAGUGAUAUCAGGAACCCACGAGAAAAAUCUCGGCAGUGCUGUUAAAGGAGUAAGGAACAUGGACAGGUUGAUACUUGUGUGCCUCUGCUAGAGAAUUAAGAUGAGUAUCGUGCACAACUCAUUUGUGGCUUUGUCUUAUGUCAUUCCAUCACUUGCAAGUUAUACAAGUAACUCCUAGACCUUAUAAGUGAGACGUUUCACACAUGCAGCAUGUAAAUCCGACUUUAAGGUUCUGUCUGUAUUAGUGAAUAAAAUGGACUGAGGACUGUUCUUUGAUCCCA
rnacentral:lncRNA from 1 species